rnacentral:rRNA from 1 species
UACGUAGGUGGCAAGCGUUGUCCGGAUUUAUUGGGGUUAAAGGGUGCGUAGGCGGUUUCAUAAGUCAGUGGUGAAAUACGGCAGCUCAACUGUCGAGGUGCCAUUGAUACUGUGAGACUUGAGUACAGACGAGGUAGGCGGAAUUGACGGUGUAGCGGUGAAAUGCUUAGAUAUCGUCAAGAACACCGAUAGCGAAGGCAGCUUACUAGGCUGUAACUGACGCUGAGGCACGAAAGUGUGGGGAUCAAACAGG